CGAAUCAAGGGAAGCGUGCCGGUGCAGGCAAGAGACCACCGUAAGCGUCGUUGCAACCAAUUAAGCGCCGAUUCCAAUCAGCGCGACUUCGCUCUCGCUGCCUAAGCGACAGCUGGUCCGUCAGACCGGGAACGCCCUCGACCCGGACCCUGGCGUCAUCUAGAGGGACCCACCCACGGGUUCGGUCGCGGAACCCGUGGGACAUCAAACAGCGACUGGGAUCGUCAUCCUGACUUGUUCGCGUGAUCAGGAGAUCCGAGUAGAGACAUAGCGGACUGCGCACGGAGAAGCCUCGAGGGAAUGCC
rnacentral:misc_RNA from 1 species